UACGAAGGGGGCUAGCGGUGUUCGGAAUCACUGGGCGUAAAGCGCACGCAGGCGGAUCGAUAAGUCGGGGGUGAAAGCCCGGGGCUCAACCUCGGAAUUGCCUUCGAUACUGUCGGUCUCGAGUCCGGGAGAGGUGAGUGGAAUUCCUAGUGUAGAGGUGAAAUUCGUAGAUAUUAGGAAGAACAUCAGUGGCGAAGGCGGCUCACUGGCCCGUUACUGACGCUCAGGUGCGAAAGCAUGGGGAGCAAUCAGG
rnacentral:rRNA from 1 species